AGAGUUUGAUCCUGGCUCAGAUUGAACGCUGGCGGAAUGCUUUACACAUGCAAGUCGAACGGCAGCACGGACUUCGGUCUGGUGGCGAGUGGCGAACGGGUGAGUAAUAUAUCGGAACGUGCCCAGUCGUGGGGGAUAACGUAGUGAAAAUUACGCUAAUACCGCAUACGAUCUAAGGAUGAAAGCGGGGGAUCGCAAGACCUCGCGCGAUUGGAGCGGCCGAUAUCAGAUUAGGUAGUUGGUGAGGUAAAGGCUCACCAAGCCAACGAUCUGUAGCUGGUCUGAGAGGACGACCAGCCACACUGGAACUGAGACACGGUCCAGACUCCUACGGGAGGCAGCAGUGGGGAAUUUUGGACAAUGGACGCAAGUCUGAUCCAGCCAUUCCGCGUGCAGGACGAAGGCCUUCGGGUUGUAAACUGCUUUUGUACAGAACGAAAAGGUCUCUAUUAAUACUAGGGGCUCAUGACGGUACUGUAAGAAUAAGCACCGGCUAACUACGUGCCAGCAGCCGCGGUAAUACGUAGGGUGCAAGCGUUAAUCGGAAUUACUGGGCGUAAAGCGUGCGCAGGCGGUUAUAUAAGACAGAUGUGAAAUCCCCGGGCUCAACCUGGGAACUGCAUUUGUGACUGUAUAGCUGGAGUGCGGCAGAGGGGGAUGGAAUUCCGCGUGUAGCAGUGAAAUGCGUAGAUAUGCGGAGGAACACCGAUGGCGAAGGCAAUCCCCUGGGCCUGCACUGACGCUCAUGCACGAAAGCGUGGGGAGCAAACAGGAUUAGAUACCCUGGUAGUCCACGCCCU
rnacentral:rRNA from 1 species